rnacentral:misc_RNA from 1 species
ACUGGCCAGGCGUGCUUGGG